UGGGAAUUUUGCACAAUGGGGGAAACCCUGAUGCAGCGACGCCGCGUGAUUUAGAAGGCCUUCGGGUUGUAAAAAUCUUUUCUAUGGGAAGAAAAUGACAGUACCAUAGGAAUAAGGACCGGCUAAUUACGUGCCAGCAGCCGCGGUAAUACGUAAGGUCCGAGCGUUGUCCGGAAUCAUUGGGCGUAAAGGGUACGUAGGCGGGUAAGCAAGUUAGAAGUGAAAUCCUAUAGCUCAACUAUAGUAAGCUUUUAAAACUGCUCAUCUUGAGGUAUGGAAGGGAAAGUGGAAUUCCUAGUGUAGCGGUGAAAUGCGCAGAUAUUAGGAGGAAUACCGGUGGCGAAGGCGACUUUCUGGCCAUAACCUGACGCUAAGGUACGAAAGCGUGGGUAGCAAACAGG
rnacentral:rRNA from 1 species